GUUUCCGUAGGUGAACCUGCGGAAGGAUCAUUUACAA
rnacentral:rRNA from 1 species